AAAAUUUACUUUAAAC
rnacentral:sRNA from 1 species